rnacentral:lncRNA from 1 species
GAAAGAUCAAAUAAAAAAAUGCAGUUCAUACAAAAAAAAAGAAAAAUGUGUCUAUGGGCUACAAAUGAUCCUGCUCGUAAAUGUGCACGUGUCAACUUCCACAUUCAGAUACAUGUACAGGAUUCAAGUAGUGAAGACAGUUUUGUGAUUUUAACAUUCGGUUGAGGCAAACUUAAGUUAGAGAACAGAAACAUCCAGCAUUGUUUAUGGUUAUAAAUGGGCAUAACCCAAGAUGGUAAAAGUCUUGCAACAUCUUACAUUAACCUUGUCAAAAACGAAUUGUAACUUGUAAAGUAAGCAAAUGUUUCAGAGAGAUGUACAAGGACUGAAGGAGCAGCCGGAUCUGAUCGCCGUAUAGAUAAGAUGUGCAAAUGAUUGUACAACUGAACAUCACAUAUCAGGCCCUCGCUCUAAAAUUCAUAAUAUAUUCCUUUUCAUAGAGUAACCGAUACAUUGCACG